GCAGUCGCCGCGGUAAUACGAAGGGUGCAAGCGUUAAUCGGAAUUACUGGGCGUAAAGCGUGCGUAGGCGGUGAGUUAAGUCUGCUGUGAAAUCCCCGGGCUCAACCUGGGAAUGGCAGUGGAUACUGGCUCGCUAGAGUGUGUCAGGGGAUGGUGGAAUUCCCGGUGUAGCGGUGAAAUGCGUAGAGAUCGGGAGGAACAUCAGUGGCGAAGGCGGCCAUCUGGGACAACACUGACGCUGAGGCACGAAAGCGUGGGGAGCAAACAGGAUUAGAUACCCCCGUAGUCCCUGUCUCUUAUAC
rnacentral:rRNA from 1 species